UUGGCAUUUUGGAAUUUUGGAAUUUUGAAACUCAAUCUCCCGCCAAAGCUUGUUACUCGAAAUCGUCAGUUGAUUUGAAUUUUGAUCAACACAUCUCUUCCAUUCCCAGUUUUCCGAUAUGGAGGCCAUUUAUACCAAGCUCUACAGCAAGUACACUAAGCUCAAGAAAGAAAAAGACAGGGAGUUGGAAAACCUGAAUAUGGAACAAGAGCUGAAAUUUGUGAAUUACGUGGCUGCUGCCGAACAACUGAUUGAAUUCGUGAGAAGUGAAAAUGACAGACUACGCGAACAAAUCAACGAGUUGAGGAGUGAAAUGGCAUCAAUGAGGGUUGCCAAAGAUAAUGAGAAGAUUCAAUACCAAAAGCUUUUGAUGGAAGACAACCGGAAGAUUAAAGAACUUAGUGAUGAAAUUCAGAGACUUCAACAACUUGACCGAGAGGGAUCUGGUUUCCAUGCUAGCACUAAUAAAGGAGAAAGCAGACAAAUUAUUACUGUUGGAGAUUCUCUUCCAGAUGCAUUGGAUGGCUCAACCAUAGCAAACCAGAAACGUCCUAGGCAGUCUUUGCCUAGCAUACAAGCCGCUGUUACAAUGUCUCCCAGGGAAGAACUUCCAACUGGACCUGCACAACCUAGUACGAGUUCAUAUAGGUACACUGAGCCUGCUUGCUGCAGAAGAAAUGCUGACAUUUCAGGUGAUGGUGCAGCUGACAUCUCUCCAGCCAAGUGCAUCUUCCAAGACGUUUUUCAGUGGCUACUCGGUAUGAAAUUUUCUAUUGUGACGGAAAAUGAAGAAUUAUGCAUAUCAGCGCUUCAUGAGUCAAGUGGACUUUCUUUUAGUUUGACGUUGAUAAAGAAUGCAUCUGAAGAACCAGAAUUGGUGUACCGCAUGCUAUCACUGGGGACCUGUGAGAGAGUGGCCCCUGAGUGGAUGAGGGAUACUGUCGUGUUCGGUCCAACUAUGUGUGCAGUUUUCUUCGAGAGGGUGAUUCGUGCUAUUAAGCACAGAUACUGACCCCAUUUCUCAUAUGUUUCUAACUUGGAUCCUCAUUCCUCAUGUUGUAUAAUUUUUCUAGGAGAAUUGUAUCCUGAGGCCAAGUGGUUUCUACAACAGGAUGUCCUCCCUCUGUCUCAUCAUCAACUUGAAUAUUAUCCAUUUGCAGCCAUUUCACUCGCACACUACCACAAAGAGCUUUUCUAAAUUCUUGAAAUCAACUUGUACAUUGGUCCUGGUACUAACUAGCAUGUGUAAACAAUCAAAACUUCUCACCUUUACGCACCUUUUCUGUUUCUUCAAUCUUAUUUGAAUGGUGUUCAAUUGUGGAGAAAGGUGAUACAUCUGUUUUCAACCAUAGCUUGUAAAGCGUGCCUGCCACCUAAUACAAGCUAUAGAGGAAAUCAAGAUUACCUAAUUAACAUCAUGAUCACAAUUCACAAGCUUUAUGAGCAAAAAGAAGGUUCCCUAUAUCCCUGGUGAUCUUCACAGGUUCAUUAAUGUUGAGAGAUGAUAAUGAUUAGUAAGACCCACUUCUGAAUUACAAAAUGAUUGUCCCCUAACAUCCCUCCUUCAUAUCAGAGCUCUGUGUCACUGCUCAAAGAAUGCAGAGCUCUAAGGUAUCCAGGAAUCAGAAGCUUCAACUUAAGGGUUGCAGUAGUAGGCUGUGUUUUGUUUUCUUCUGAAGAACUGAAAGUUGAAAUUCUGAUAGAUAUCCAGCCAGCCAUUUUAAGCACAACACAUGCGGCAUGAUGCAAGAAAAGUUAGACAAGAUGAUUAGAGAAAGAGAAGAGACUAAAAAUGAAAAUACCAAAUGAUAGCCAUGGAGAAGUCUUCCUCCGAUCCAGGAGAGGAUUUUGUGGAGUCCAUUGAGCAGAAGAUAGUGGCAAAUAGGAUACAUUUGAAUUAUUACGUUUCUAUGGAUUCUGAGGAAUAUCGUGGUU